GUGCUUAAUUCUAGCAAUUAAACUUCUCUCUUGUUUUGAACAAUUGUAUUCUCUACCCACUGGCAAAGUAGACUUGCUAUAAGUUGAACAAUAUUCCUUGAUUAUCACUUUAUGUAUAGCUUAUACUCUAAAUAAACAAAUUGUAUGCCAUCAACUAAGUAAAUAAAAUAAAAAUUUAAUUAAAAUCUUUAAGUUGCAGAUUAGGCUUUUCGCUAGAUUUUUCAGCUGCCUGAUCAAGUCUCUCUAUAUAUCACACAGUUUAAACUAAAAUCAACUCAACUCAGAAAUAAUCGCUCUGACUACCUUUUCACAUUUCCAAAAAAAAUUUAAAUUUUGUAUAGAAAUAGAUCUAGGAUUGACUAAGCAAGUUGUGAGCAGCUCAUCUGAUAGUCAUGCUAUGCCCAAGCAACGGAAUCCUUGACCAGAGAGCGGGUUGAGUGGGUGGCUGAGUUGGGUGUGCUUGGAGUGUUUGGGUGGUCAGUUUGCUGACGUUUGGGAUAAAGUCAAGCGGAUAAACAAGAGAUUAAAAUGUCAUAAACAAUGCCUUUUGAGCAUCCAGCUAAAACAACUUAAUGAAAGCUGCAGGUCACACGGGCAGAGCAAGAGCAGGAGCCAGGCCAGAGACGAAGCAGGAGCCGAAGCCGAAGGCAAGCGUAAAGUGUUACGUAAAACUAUUUUUGAGACUUGAAAGUUUUUGCAAACAAUCAACACGAAUACACAAACACAAACACACACAGAGACACUCACACAUACACAUAUACAUAUAUAACCAUCUAUCUUUAAUCCUUAUGUGAAGUGUGGAGGCAGCCACAGCACCAGCAGCAGCACCAACAGCUGCAACAAAAUGUGGCAGGAGGCGCAGUCAAUAAAUUUUCAUAAAACUUUUGAUUUGUAUUUAUGAGUUUUUUGGUGCGCUGGCAACUGUGGGAAUUCAAUUAAGUCGAUACGAUUUGUUCUUCUUGUUUGUUGUUUUUUUGUUUGUUGUUGUUUUAUGUAUUUAUUUAUAUUUUUGUUGGUAUGUUUGUAAAACAAUUGAAAAACUUUAUUGUGGGCGGGUUCGGGCAUACAUUAAUGAUUUAUAUUAUCAUACAAGGGCAUACGAUACAAUAAAUUUUCGCCUAAUGACAAAAUAAGGAUCGGGCUUAGCUUAAACAAAUUCCUGCACAUACAUUCACACAUACACACAUACACACGCAUAACUCAUACACACACACGCACACAAACA